rnacentral:rRNA from 1 species
UUUGAUCCUGGCUCAGGAUGAACGCUGGCGGCGUGCCUAGCACAUGCAAGUCGAGCGAAGCACUUUGAUUGGAUUCUUCGGAUGAAGAUAAUUGUGACUGAGCGGCGGACGGGUGAGUAACGCGUGGGCAACCUGCCUUACACAGGGGGAUAACAGUUAGAAAUGACUGCUAAUACCGCAUAAGACCGCGGAACCGCAUGGUUCUGAGGUAAAAACUCCGGUGGUGUAAGAUGGGCCCGCGUCUGAUUAGGUAGUUGGUGAGGUAACGGCUCACCAAGCCGACGAUCAGUAGCCGACCUGAGAGGGUGACCGGCCACAUUGGGACUGAGACACGGCCCAGACUCCUACGGGAGGCAGCAGUGGGGAAUAUUGCACAAUGGGGGAAACCCUGAUGCAGCGACGCCGCGUGAGCGAUGAAGUAUUUCGGUGUGUAAAGCUCUAUCAGCAGGGAAGAAAAUGACGGUACCUGACUAAGAAGCCCCGGCUAACUACGUG